AUAGUUACCACGACGUCCAAGGCUUGUCCUACCCAAAGAACUUAAACUUCUUUUAAAUUCUAACUCUGCAGAUGGAGACAGUGAACGCAGAUGGAGGAAUGCGUCGUGUGAAGGAAGAAGAAAGGAAAAUUCCUGAGGCGUUAGGAGGGGCUCAGGCUGAGAGAUGUUCGGCGUGUCCUGUACAUCCUGGUCAGGAGACUCAGCAAAGGUCAGGGUCGAAGGCUGUAGGAUCUGGUUCCAUAUUGCUGGUGAAGCUGUGCAGGCUCCACAGACUGUGGUAGGAUGGUCCAGGGGACAGGCAGAGUGCAGCUGAACUCCACUGGACUUGGGCCACAGCCCCUGCAGCUCCUCUGGAAAGGCGGGCCAGGAGGAGCCUGGAAGAGGCUGGGGAAGGAAAGGGCUGGUCUUCCACUGAUGCGGCCAGCAGGCCUGCCCUGAGGGUGUGUCUGCAUUUCGGGGAACUU
ensembl:lncRNA